UACGUAGGGGGCUAGCGUUAUCCGGAUUUACUGGGUGUAAAGGGAGCGCAGGCGGCACGGCAAGCCUGAUGUGAAAGCCCGCGGCCCAACCGCGGGACUGCAUUGGGAACUACCGGGCUGGAGUGCCGGAGAGGUAGGCGGAAUUCCUAGUGUAGCGGUGAAAUGCGUAGAUAUAUGGAGGAACACCGGUGGCGAAAGCGGCUCUCUGGCCUGUAACUGACACUGAGGCUCGAAAGCGUGGGGAGCAAACAGG
rnacentral:rRNA from 1 species